rnacentral:rRNA from 1 species
AUACGUAGGUGGCAAGCGUUGUCCGGAAUUAUUGGGCGUAAAGCGCAUGUAGGCGGUUUGGUAAGUCGGUCGUGAAAAGCGGGGCUUUAACCCCGUAGGGGAUUGGAAAUUCCUGACUUGGGUGCAGGGGAGGAAAAGGGAACUCCCAGGGUAGGGGGGAAAUGGGUAGAUAUUGGGAAGAACACCGGUGGCGAAGGCGCCUUUCUGGACUGUGUCUGACGCUCAGAUGCGAAAGCCAGGGUAGCGAACGGGAUUAGAUACCCCGGUAGUCCUGGCCGUAAACGAUGGGUACUAGGUGUGGGAGGUAUCGACUCCUUCCGUGCCGGAGUUAACGCAAUAAGUACCCCGCCUGGGGAGUACGGCCGCAAGGCUUAAACUCAAAGGAAUCGACGGGG